UACGAAGGGUGCAAGCGUUAAUCGGAAUUACUGGGCGUAAAGGGUGCGUAGGCGGUUGUUUAAGUCUGUCGUGAAAUCCCCGGGCUCAACCUGGGAAUGGCGAUGGAUACUGGACAGCUAGAGUGUGUCAGAGGAUGGUGGAAUUCCCGGUGUAGCGGUGAAAUGCGUAGAGAUCGGGAAGAACAUCAGUGGCGAAGGCGGCCUGCUGGGCUGUUGCUGACGCUGAGGCGCGACAGCGUGGGGAGCAAACAGG
rnacentral:rRNA from 1 species